rnacentral:lncRNA from 1 species
AUACCGGAUUCCGAGCUUGUCAUACGAUACCGGCCAGUUCCAGACGUUGGCACCAUUGAUCAUUCGUUCUUGUUGCCCAAGAACAAGCCGUAGGUCCUCAUUCAAGACCUGCACGAGAUCACCCAGGAUCAGUAUAGGAUCAGAAAUUAGAGUUGUAAGAGCAACUGUUGAAAAUUACCCUAGGUGCAUUCUGAAUUAAGUCUGCACAAGAAAGGUGUUGAUUAUUAGUACUAAUUUAGAUUUAGCAGUCCCUGUAUCAUAUUGCUAUCUUGUAUAGAUAAUAUUGCAGAAAAUAUAACCAUUGCUAGUGUUAGGCACAAGCUGAGGAAUAAGAAUAUAUAGUAUCUGUCAAGGCAUAAGACUUGCCUUCUCGGCGAAAUGUGACCACAGUAGGUGCAUGUACGGUAUGUGCUUGAGCCAGGGAGCGAAGUCUAGUGACAUCCGGUACAGCAGCCUAGUUUUAUUCCUAGAGGAAGGCAAGCAAACAUGGAGUUGAUGUAGAUGUGUCGAGCAUUGCUGGGUGCUCUUCCCUUCUAGCUUUCCAGGCUUUGAAAUGCCGAUGGUUGAUAAGACCAUGCACGGUGGUCGGAACUCCAUGUCGAUGGGGUAAGGAUCCCAGUAUCCUUGGAGCCCAGAUGAAGGUGUCAGGAACUUCACCAAGCUGACAAAGACAAAACAACAUCAGAAUGUUGUUGAUUUGCACAUGUAACAACCGAUAUGAAAGUUCAUAUGCAUCUGUCAAUAAUCUGAGGUGAGAUGCAGGGUACAUAAGUACCUUGGAACACUCCAACCCUUGGCAAAGGUGGAUGUAUGUGUAAAAGGAGCAUGAGCAAGGUCCAACAGAUUGUCCAGAAGAAGGCCAUGCUCAACAGGUAGCUCCAUCACUAUCUGUAGAAUGAUCAAGAACUCCAUUAAAACAUAAGAAACUUACAUAACAACACAAUCACUGAAGCAUAAUAGGAUUUCCUUUUACCUCUGCGUGAACCAUAAAUCCUGAAGGAGGCAGCAGAGAAGGGAUUGUGGCCUUUGGCGGCUCAUCCCCAGGCCAAAUCCAAACCAUUCCUUCUUGCUCAAAGCAUGGCAAUGACUGGAUGCGCACAUCGAUCUUUUUUGUUGAUGGCAUUUUUUCACAUUUUCCAUCAGUUGAGUACUCCCAGCCUGAAGGUUAUUUUAAAAUCUAGACGUUAAUUAUGCAUCAGCGUUGUUUUUCCAUAAUAUUAGGAGCACAAAAAGGUCAACAUAACAAAUGUCUUUCUUUGUCAGAACAUUUUCUGGUAUUUUUAAGGCUGUAGAACUGGAUGUGCAGGAUCCAAAACCUCGACCUUAUAAGAGAGAAUUGUGUUUUGCAAGCAGAACUAUCUAAUUGUCACUAUUAAUUCAGACAGGAUAAACAAGUAGGCGCACUUCUGAAAGAAGAUAACCUCUAACAUCACGAAUCAAAUUGCAGAAACAUGUGAGAAGAAAUGUGUAGCAUUUUCAUGUACUCAAGUAUUAGAAUUCUAAGUUACAUUAUGAAACUUUCCAUUCUUACCAUGGUAAGGGCACUGGAUUCUGCCCUCGUUUACUGAACCGAGAUGAAGGGGGCAAGCUCUGUGAGCACAUGUGUUCUGAACACAGCCAGGCCUUCCAUCUUUUCCGCGGAAUAUCACCCACUGUUCCUCGAAACAAUCUAUUGGUACCUGAGAAUGCACAUGAACCCAUCAAGUAAGCACAGGCUUCUGUAACUCCAAGCUCUGACUUUGCAAUGGCCUGAAACAUUCAGUGUUUUACCAUUGUGUCAUCUUUCAGAUCGCUGGAGAAGGCAACUGGGUACCAGAAGUUCUUCAAGCUGGGAUUGUAAGGCUUCACAGGACCAGACACGUCAAGACUCCGACGUGGUUGUUUCUUGGCUCGGACUUGGGUGGUCGAUGAUGUACUUGGAGCCAGGGAAGUGGCCUCAGCUGUGGAUGAGCUAGAGGCUACAUCCGGCAAUAGCCUGUCAUUUACCAGGGUCUCCAUAUGUGCUAACUUGUCGAGCGCAGAUGAUACCCUUGCUUCCGAUAAAUGAACCUGCAUCUUACAUGUAAACAUCAGGUUGCAGGUGGAGGUACUGAAUAAUUCCAUAUGGUGUCUUCCAGUAGCCCACCUGAUUGUGAGCUUUUGCAAGUUCCUCCUGUAACUCGUCAAGCUCUUUCCUCAAGGUUCCAAUCGACUUGAAUUCCCUUGCUAAAGGAUUGAGAACCUCAACCACCUGCAUUUCAGUUUGAGCAAUGCACCAUGGUACGUUCAGUUGGACUAUUUCAACCUCAAACAAUUGAUUCAAAGUUGCACUUUUUAUGCAUAUAAGUUUAUGGCUACCAAUCACUUCAUGCAUACUGAAUAUCUGAUAAGCAGCAAGUGCAGACUGAAACCAAACCUGGCUCUGAACUUAGCGCUGAAACUGGAUUUCAUACCUUGUUGUGGAGAACCAUGAUGGUUAGGAGAUCCUGCCGCGCCCUCCAAUCGCAGUACUGGAUGUCGAAUCGGACCACCUCGAGAGCCUCAUUCACAUCCAGGAACUUGCCCUUCUUGAUUGGGACCCUCGGCCCAGGGUCAUCGACAUGGAACAGGGCCUCCAGGUUGUUGUUCUUUGCGAAUUCAGCUCCAUCUUCCCUGAGU